rnacentral:rRNA from 1 species
AAUCAACGCUGGCGGCGUGCCUAACACAUGCAAGUCGAACGCGAAAGGAUCCUUCGGGGUCUGAGUAGAGUGGCGUCCGGGUGAGUAACGCGUAGGUAAUCUACCUUCGGGUGGGGAAUAACUCAGGGAAACUUGAGCUAAUACCGCAUAAUAUUGAGAAAUCAAAGCGGGGGACCGCAAGGCCUCGCGCCUGAAGAGGAGCCUGCGUCUGAUUAGGUAGUUGGUGAGGUAACGGCUCACCAAGCCUGCGAUCAGUAGCUGGUCUGAGAGGACGGCCAGCCACAUUGGCACUGAAACACGGGCCAAACUCCUACGGGAGGGCAGCAGUGGGGAAUUUUGGGCAAUGGGCGCAAGCCUGACCCAGCAACGCCGCGUG